GAUGAACGCUGGCGGCGUGCCUAAUACAUGCAAGUCGAGCGAACCACUUCGGUGGUGAGCGGCGAACGGGUGAGUAACACGUAGGUUAUCUGCCCAUCAGACGGGGACAACGAUUGGAAACGAUCGCUAAUACCGGAUAGGACGAAAGUUUAAAGGUGCUUCGGCACCACUGAUGGAUGAUCCUGCGGCGCAUUAGCUAGUUGGUAGGGUAAAGGCCUACCAAGGCGACGAUGCGUAGCCGACCUGAGAGGGUGAACGGCCACACUGGACUGAGACACGGCCCAGACUCCUACGGGAGGCAGCAGUAGGGAAUCUUCGGCAAUGGGCGAAAGCCUGACCGAGCAACGCCGCGUGAAUGAUGAAGGCCUUCGGGUUGUAAAAUUCUGUUAUAAGGGAAGAAUGGCUCUAGUAGGAAAUGGCUAGAGUGUGACGGUACCUUAUGAGAAAGCCACGGCUAACUACGUGCCAGCCGCCGCGGUAAAAC
rnacentral:rRNA from 1 species